UGUCACAACGGCAGACAGCUAAC
rnacentral:piRNA from 1 species